rnacentral:rRNA from 1 species
CCUACGGGGGGCUGCAGUGGGGAAUAUUGGACAAUGGGGGGAACCCUGAUCCAGCCAUGCCGCGUGUGUGAAGAAGGCCCUCGGGUUGUAAAGCACUUUCAGUGAGGAAGAACGCCUGGUGGUUAAUACCCAUCAGGAAAGACAUCACUCACAGAAGAAGCACCGGCUAACUCCGUGCCAGCAGCCGCGGUAAUACGGAGGGUGCGAGCGUUAAUCGGAAUUACUGGGCGUAAAGCGCGCGUAGGUGGCUGGAUAAGCCGGUUGUGAAAGCCCCGGGCUCAACCUGGGAACGGCAUCCGGACCUGUCAAGCUAGAGUGCAGGAGAGGAAGGUAGAAUUCCCGGUGUAGCGGUGAAAUGCGUAGAGAUCGGGAGGAAUACCAGUGGCGAAGGCGGCCUUCUGGACUGACACUGACACUGAGGUGCGAAAGCGUGGGUAGCAAACAGGAUUAGAUACCCCAGUAGUC